GACGAACGCUGGCGGCGUGCUUAACACAUGCGAGUCGAACGGAAAGGCCCUGCUUUUGUGGGGUGCUCGAGUGGCGAACGGGUGAGUAACACGUGAGUAACCUGCCCUUGACUUUGGGAUAACUUCAGGAAACUGGGGCUAAUACCGGAUAGGAGCUCCUGCUGCAUGGUGGGGGUUGGAAAGUUUCGGCGGUUGGGGAUGGACUCGCGGCUUAUCAGCUUGUUGGUGGGGUAGUGGCAUACCAAGGCUUUGACGGGUAGCCGGCCUGAGAGGGUGACCGGCCACAUUGGGACUGAGAUACGGCCCAGACUCCUACGGGAGGCAGCAGUGGGGAAUAUUGCACAAUGGGCGGAAGCCUGAUGCAGCAACGCCGCGUGCGGGAUGACGGCCUUCGGGUUGUAAACCGCUUUCGCCUGUGACGAAGCGUGAGUGACGGUAAUGGGUAAAGAAGCACCGGCUAACUACGUG
rnacentral:rRNA from 1 species